UCAUCUACAUAGAGCCAGUCUUGCUUCUACCCCAAGAUAUGCACAGGUAGGAGAGGAUUGGACGAUGAUCAGAAGCUUCAAACUUGAGGUAUUGGCAACAGCAAGAAGGGAAGAGCUCUGUCCAUUCAGGAUUGCUGAGGGAUCUGUCAAAGCGGCAUCGCACUAGGUGAUCUCCUCUUUUACCUCUCCAUGAGAAGAGAUUACCAGAGUGUUUAAGAUCAAACAGAUCAUUCUCUGAGAGGAAGGUUCGAAAAGCUCCAAAAAAGAAGGUGAUGUCAGGAGACUUCUUCUUGCGAAUCUCCUUUAAACAAUGGUUUUGUUGAUAUGCAUUAAAUGCAUUACAUCAUUG